GUGCCUUUGGAGCGGCUGAGCCUUUAUCCCCUUCAGGCUUCCAUGGAGGCGGCACCGCGACCCCGCCGGCAGCGCCGGGACCCCGCCGGGGCUGCGGAAACGCCUCCCCGCAGAAAGAUGGCUUGAACUAAAGAAGCCUGGUUUUUCCACGAGGAUGUGACACAACGGGACUGGGAGCAGCUGGGGAGGUGGCCCUGAUGUGAAGGCAGAGCCUGCAGGUCUCGUGCUGGUUGUUGGUGUCCCCUCACUGAUGUGAGAGCUCUUCACAAGCCCCUGUGGAGGGCACUGGGACAGCAGAGCAGGACAAUCUGCUGGGUGAGUUUAAUAUUUACUGUGCUCUUGGCUGAACGUGGAAAAAAACCACCAAAAACUAGGGCUAAAAUACAGAGCAGCUGUUUCUGUACUGUAGGCAAAGAGAUAAGUCUUGCUUCUGCAUAAAUACAUCAAUUUCCGGGUGAUAUCAUGUGAUGAAACUAACCCAAACUUGCUGGAAUUACCGGCAGAUUGACUGGUGGUGGUGCUGCUGGGGACAUCUCUGAGGCAGAAGGACUCCAACAAAACACCUGAGCUAGAGGAUUUUGUGUAGACAAAACCGUUCUGCCUGUUACAAAGUGGUAACAGUUAAAGUGUUUAUUAC